GACGAACGCUGGCGGCGUGCUUAACACAUGCAAGUCGAACGGAAAGGCCCUGCUUUUGUGGGGUGCUCGAGUGGCGAACGGGUGAGUAACACGUGAGUAACCUGCCCUUAACUUUGGGAUAACUUCAGGAAACUGGUGCUAAUACCGGAUAGGAGCUCCUGCUGCAUGGUGGGGGUUGGAAAGUUUCGGCGGUUGGGGAUGGACUCGCGGCUUAUCAGCUUGUUGGUGGGGUAGUGGCUUACCAAGGCUUUGACGGGUAGCCGGCCUGAGAGGGUGACCGGCCACAUUGGGACUGAGAUACGGCCCAGACUCCUACGGGAGGCAGCAGUGGGGAAUAUUGCACAAUGGGCGGAAGCCUGAUGCAGCAACGCCGCGUGCGGGAUGACGGCCUUCGGGUUGUAAACCGCUUUCGCCUGUGACGAAGCGUGAGUGACGGUAAUGGGUAAAGAAGCACCGGCUAACUACGUG
rnacentral:rRNA from 1 species